UAAUAAUUUCAAUAUCAAUUAUCAUUAUUUACAUCGAUGUUUGUAUUCAUAUAUCUUGUUGAAAAUGUUGUCUCAAUUUUAUUUAGUGGAACAUGAAUAAUUGCCAUACUUCAUAUUUGUUUUGUGAAUUACACACAAUUUUUGCAAUUUGAAAUCAACUAUGCUUAACUAAUGUAACGUAAUUGUAAUAUUUCAGGCUCUUGACACCUUCAACACUGCAGUAGUUUCUCCUAUAUACUAUGUCAUGUUCACAACACUUACAAUCCUAGCUAGUGUGAUAAUGUUCAAGGUAUCAUCAACUAAUUUUGGUAUUUAAGUUUUAGUUUCUGUGUAUUUCAGUUGCAUUAUAAUUACAAAACAUAUUCUUUUGGAGUCUGCCAGUUGAGAAAUGAAGUUAAUAAACUGGAGGAGAGGCUUGGAGUUACUGAUGAUCAUCUCGAACAAAAGAAUCUGAAAAUCAAGAAACUGACAGAUGAAAAGAAAUGUGCAUUGGCUACACAAUAUGUGGCAGAAGCAACUCUUAGAAGGGUACAUGCAAAUCAAAAGGAUGAUGAUAUUCUCCCAAUUGACAGCAUCAUUACUCCAUUUGAAGCUGAGAUUAAAAUAUACAAGAAUGAGUUACAAAUAAUGUAACUCCCAGCAAGGAUGCAUUUGUCAAAUAAUUAAUUAAUUUAAUGUAACUUCUUCUUCCUCUUUAUAUGAUGCUAUAAGAACAAUACACUGAGUAUAUAUUUUGAAUUAUAGUUGAUGUAUCAACACAUUUUGUUGAUGUAUAGUUAUUUAUUAUUAUAGUUGAUGUAUCAAUACACUUUGUUUAUUUUUUGAA